rnacentral:rRNA from 1 species
GACGAACGCUGGCGGCGUGCUUAACACAUGCAAGUCGAACGAAGAGCGAUGGAAGCUUGCUUCUAUCAAUCUUAGUGGCGCACGGGUGAGUAACGCGUAAUCAACCUGCCCUUCAGAGGGGGACAACAGUUGGAAACGACUGCUAAUACCGCAUACGAUCUAACCUCGGCAUCGAGGAUAGAUGAAAGGUGGCCUCUACAUGUAAGCUAUCACUGAAGGAGGGGAUUGCGUCUGAUUAGCUAGUUGGAGGGGUAACGGCCCACCAAGGCGAUGAUCAGUAGGCGGUCUGAGAGGAUGAACGGCCACAUUGGGACUGAGACACGGCCCAGACUCCUACGGGAGGCAGCAGUGGGGAAUCUUCCGCAAUGGACGAAAGUCUGACGGAGCAACGCCGCGUGAGUGAUGACGGCCUUCGGGUUGUAAAGCUCUGUUAAUCGGGACGAAAGGCCUUCUUGCGAAUAGUUAGAAGGAUUGACGGUACCGGAAUAGAAAGCCACGGCUAACUACGUG